rnacentral:rRNA from 1 species
UGGGGAAUCUUGGACAAUGGGGGCAACCCUGAUCCAGCAAUGCCGCGUGGAUGAUGAAGGCCCUAGGGUUGUAAAAUCCUUUCGUUGGGGACGAUAAUGACGGUACCCAAAGAAGAAGCUCCGGCUAACUUCGUGCCAGCAGCCGCGGUAAUACGAAGGGGGCUAGCGUUGUUCGGAUUUACUGGGCGUAAAGCGCGUGUAGGCGGGUCGUUAAGUUGGGGGUGAAAUCCCGAGGCUCAACCUCGGAACUGCCUUCAAAACUGGCGACCUGGACUCAAGUAGAGGCAAGUGGAAUUGCGAGUGUAGAGGUGAAAUUCGUAGAUAUUCGCAGGAACACCAGUGGCGAAGGCGACUUGCUGGACUUGUAGUGACGCUGAGACGCGAAAGCGUGGGGAGCAAGCAGGAUUAGAUACCCUCGUAGUCCCUGAGCGGGCUGGCAAGGCGCAU